UAUUUUGGAAGAGAUGCAUUUAUUAGAUAAAAAACCAAUACAUACUUUUUCAAGUAUGAAAUUUGGUGAUUUACAAUAACUUAGCAAAUCGCAUAGUAAAAACAGGCGAUAAAUCAUUCAAGUUUCUGACCUAUCAGCUUUCGACGGUAUGGUAUUGGCUUACCGUGGCAGUGACGGUUAACGGGGGAUUAGGGUUCGAUUCCGGAGAGGGAGCCUGAGAAACGGCUACCACAUCUAAGGAAGGCAGCAGGCGCGCAAAUUACCCAAUUCUAACAGCAUAAGAGAGGUAGUGACAAGAAAUAACAAUACAAGGCAGUUAAAAUGCUUUGUAAUUGGAAUGAUAGAAAUUUAAACACUUUUUAAAGUAUCAAUUGGAGGGCAAGUCUGGUGCCAGCAGCCGCGGUAAUUCCAGCUCCAAUAGCGUAUAUUAAAAUUGUUGCAGUUAAAAAGCUCGUAGUUGAAUUUCUGUUAAAAAUAACCGGUCUGCUUUUAAUAAAAGUGGUAUCUUGGUGUGUUUUUAGCAAUAAUGUCCUUUGAAAUGUUUUUUACUUUAUUGUAAUAAAUAAUAUUCAGGAUUUUUACUUUGAGAAAAUUAGAGUGUUUCUAGCAGGCUAACGCUUUGAAUACUGCAGCAUGGAAUAAUAAAAUAGGAUUUUAGUUCUACAUUAUUGGUUUUAAGAACUAAAUUAAUGAUUGAUAGGGACAGUUGGGGGCAUUUGUAUUUAACUGUCAGAGGUGAAAUUCUUAGAUUUGUUAAAGACAAACUACUGCGAAAGCAUUUGCCAAUGAUGUUUUCAUUAAUCAAGAAC
rnacentral:rRNA from 1 species